UGCAGUCGGAGGGACUUUUCGUUGUAGCAAUACAGUGGAAAGUUCAGUGGCGAACGGGUGCGUAACACGUGGGCAAUCUUCCUUAAAGUGUGGGAUAGCUCGGCGAAAGCCGAAUUAAUACCGCAUGUGAUUAGAGGCGACAUCGCUUCGAAAUCAAAGGUGGCGCAAGCUACCGCUUUUUGAGGAGCCCGCGGCCUAUCAGCUUGUUGGUGAGGUAACGGCUCACCAAGGCGUUGACGGGUAGCUGGUCUGAGAGGACGACCAGCCACACUGGGACUGAGACACGGCCCAGACACCUACGGGUGGCAGCAGUCGAGAAUUUUUGACAAUGGGGGAAACCCUGAUCGAGCGACGCCGCGUGGAGGAUGAAGGUCUUCGGGUUGUAAACUCCUGUCAUUUGGGAACAAGGCGUAUGUAUUAACUGUGCAUGCGUUGAUAGUACCAGAAGAGGAAGAGACGGCUAACUCUGUGCCAGCAGCCGCGGUAAUACAGAGGUCUCAAGCGUUGUUCGGAUUCAUUGGGCGUAAAGGGUGUGUAGGUGGCGCGCUAAGUCGGGUGUGAAAUUUCGGAGCUUAACUCCGAAACUGCAUUCGAUACUGGCGUGCUUGAGGACUGGAGAGGAGACUGGAAUUUACGGUGUAGCAGUGAAAUGCGUAGAUAUCGUAAGGAAGACCAGUGGCGAAGGCGGGUCUCUGGACAGUUCCUGACACUGAGACACGAAGGCCAGGGGAGCAAACGGGAUUAGAUACCCCGGUAGUCCUGGCAGUAAACGGUGCACGUUUGGUGUGGGAGGAUCACCCCUUCUGCGCCGGAGCCAACGCGUUAAACGUGCGCCUGGGGAGUACGGUCGCAAGAUAAAACUCAAAGAAAUUGA
rnacentral:rRNA from 1 species